rnacentral:misc_RNA from 1 species
CGUGUGCACUGGACUGACCACCUUGAUCUCCUCAAGGCGUUUGGGCUGGUCAACCUUUGUGUCCACAGUAACUUGGGACGAUGGACGUGGCGGAACUUGUUCGGUCAUCACGACUUCACUAUACGUCUUGGUCUGUUCGGUCAACUUCUCCGGUAUCUUACGUUUGCCGGGAGCGAAUUCGACUUCGACCUCAGUAGAGGAUAGGUCAUUGUCUUCCACGCUACGCACAAGCGUUGUUGGCUUGACGCGCUCCUUCUUCCCAGAGCAAGCCCCGGGAUUUGGGCCGGAGCACGGAUGCGCUUGCACGUAUCGAACGUAGAUUUGGUAAUGCUCGUAAUACAACUUCCAAUCCACCCCGUAUGCCCUCAAGUCUGGGGGCAAAAGUGGUUCAAGGCAACGUUUUGUAUCUGCUGAUUUAAACAUUGCGGUUGCUUUUGCUUUUGCUUUUGCUUUUGCUUAUUGCUGUUGCUGUUGUGCCGCC